ACCCUCCAGAUUUCUUACCCCUUAGGUUUAAGUAUGGGUCUGAGUGGCUAAACAAGGAAGAAAGUAUAACUGAAGUGGUAUUGGAAUCUUUAAUCACAUACAAGUUCAUUUCAAGCAUAA
rnacentral:snoRNA from 1 species